UGGACAUAUUAUCCAUAGUUUGUCUGGCAUAUCUUUUUUUCUCAUUGGAACACAGAAUUUAGGAAACUUAACCAUCACCAAGUUCCAAAUGUAUGAAUGAAGACUGUAUACCUUACAGCACAAAAGGUGACUCUAUGCAAGGAGCAGAGCAAUGGCUGAUUCUACUACUUAGGGAUAAGGCUGCACUGCAACAUUUCAUAUAAGGCUGAUGGAGAACUUACAGAAAGUAGUCAAAAAACUAUGGCAACUUGAAAAAAAUAGACCUAGAACUAUAUUAAUCAGUAAAAUCAUGAAAAAAUGAAGACAUUGAAAUUAUAACUGUAAGUAAAUAUCAUUUUAUCAUGGAAAUCCAAUAAUUAGUUCUUAAUCUGUUAAAAUGAAAAUUUCAUCAGUUAAUAUAAAAUCAUGGUACGGAAUCAAAGUUAAACACAGCAAACCUGAUUAUGUAUGGUAAUAAUUUAUGGUCUAAAAUCUCCCCAUCCA
rnacentral:lncRNA from 1 species